GGGUGUUCGGCGUGUGUUUGGCGUUUCCUUUUCCUACGUUGUCCGCGCCCUUUGUCUCACCGUGACCUGGUAUAUUCCCACUUGUUGCUCGCUUUUUACGGGCUUCUUGUUGCCUCGAAGAUCAUCAUGAUUGCCUCCGACGCAGCCACAUCAAAGAUUCAGAGGCCACAGCCGGAACGGGAAAGGUUCACAUAGGUUGGAGGAAUGCUCGUUGAUAAGAAGAUCCUGGCACAGUUUACCAUGGCCUGCCAUGGUGGACCAGGCAAGCUUGCAAGCGUCUUGCUUCACCGUGCGUUCACAGAGGAAGACCUCAUGGGCCACU